AGAGUUUGAUCCUGGCUCAGGACGAACGCUGGCGGCGUGCCUAAUACAUGCAAGUCGAACGGUCUUUUCUAUGGAAGCUUGCUUCCACUGAGAAGAUAGUGGCGAACGGGUGAGUAACACGUGGGUAACCUGCCCAUAAGAGGGGGAUAACAUCCGGAAACGGGUGCUAAUACCGCAUAGUUUUCUUGAUCGCAUGAUCGAGAAAGGAAAGACGGCCUUUGUGCUGUCGCUUAUGGAUGGACCCGCGGCGUAUUAGUUAGUUGGUGAGGUAAUGGCUCACCAAGACGAUGAUACGUAGCCGACCUGAGAGGGUGAUCGGCCACAUUGGGACUGAGACACGGCCCAAACUCCUACGGGAGGCAGCAGUAGGGAAUCUUCCGCAAUGGACGAAAGUCUGACGGAGCAACGCCGCGUGAGUGAAGAAGGUUUUCGGAUCGUAAAACUCUGUUGUCAGAGAAGAACAAGUCGGAGAGUAACUGCUCCGGCCUUGACGGUAUCUGACCAGAAAGCCACGGCUAACUACGUGCCAGCAGCCGCGGUAAUACGUAGGUGGCAAGCGUUGUCCSGGAUUUAUUGGGGCGUAAAGCGAGCGCAGGCGGUUCCUUWAGUCUGAUGUGAAAGCCCACGGGCUCAACCGUG
rnacentral:rRNA from 1 species